UACGUAGGGUGCGAGCGUUGUCCGGAAUUAUUGGGCCUAAAGCAUCCGUAGCCGGUCCUACAAGUCUUCCGUUAAAUCCACCUGCUCAACAGAUGGGCUGCGGAAGAUACUAUAGGGCUAGGAGGCGGGAGAGGCAAGCGGUACUCAGUGGGUAGGGGUAAAAUCCUCUGAUCCAUUGAAGACCACCAGUGGCGAAGGCGGCUUGCCAGAACGCGCUCGACGGUGAGGGAUGAAAGCUGGGGGAGCAAACCGG
rnacentral:rRNA from 1 species